ensembl:snRNA U1 U1 spliceosomal RNA
AUGCUAAUACCUGGCAGGGGAGGUACCAUGAUCACGAAGCUGGUUUUCCCAGGGCGAGGAUUAUGCAUUGCACUCCGUGUGUGCUGACCCCUGCGAUUUCCCCAAAUGUGGGAAACUCGACUGCAUAAUUUGUGGUAGUGGGGGACUGUGUUCACACUCUCCCCUG